UGGUGGAAUGCCACCUCCUACUUGGGUGGAUUGGUGGCAGCCAUGUGGGCUGCCACCUCGUGCUUGGGUGCAAGGAGACCCUUUAUAAGGGGGCUGCAGCUCGUUUUGCACCAUUUCACCUGCAGCAACUUGGGUUAGAGAGAGAAUCUAGAGAGAGAAAGUGUAGAUUUGAGUUCCUCGUAAUAGGCAAAGAUCGCCUACUUAGAAGAAACACAAAAAGGAAGUCGGUGUAAGAUGCAGGUCAGAAGACCUAUGCAGGAAAUGAUGCUUGAG